GUAGGUGGCAAGCGUUGUCCGGAAUUAUUGGGCGUAAAGCGCGCGCAGGCGGGUCCUUUAAGUCUGAUGUGAAAGCCCACGGGCUCAACCGUGGAGGGUCAUUGGAAACUGGGGGACUUGAGUACAGAAGAGGAAAGCGGAAUUCCACGUGUAGCGGUGAAAUGCGUAGAGAUGUGGAGGAACACCAGUGGCGAAGGCGGCUUUCUGGUCUGUAACUGACGCUGAGGCGCGAAAGCGUGGGGAGCAAACAGGAUUAGAUACCCUGGUAGUCCACGCCGUAAACGAUGAGUGCUAAGUGUUAGGGGGUUUCCGCCCCUUAGUGCUGCAGCUAACGCAUUAAGCACUCCGCCUGGGGAGUACGGCCGCAAAGGCUG
rnacentral:rRNA from 1 species